rnacentral:lncRNA from 1 species
AAAUAAUACCACUUGGCUUUUUAAAGCCAUCUUUAUCAAUUUUAUUUGAAAAGACAUCUUCUGUAUAUCGCAGGCCUUGUAUUUUGCCACAAAGAAGCUAUUUUCAGAAAUAUUUUUGUCAUUUUAGUGGACUUGAGUGUAGCUGGAGUUGUUUAAUAAUAAGUUUAUGUGGUUGUUAUUCUCGAUCCUUUCUCUUGAUCCAAUAGCUAUUUUGCUAGUACUGGUGAGAUAUGCCAUAUUUGUUCUUCAGGAAAGCAAGGAUAUUCCUGACAUCAGAGAAUCUUUGAAUAGUUUCUGAAGCACAAAUAUGACGCAUUUCCCUCUGUAAAACUGACUUGCCGUAGAAAAACAUAUUAAUAGACAAAUCCUUUCGAAUUUGAAGACCGUAGAUAAGUUCAGCUACCACGACGACAGUGGAAAUCGCAAAAAAUAUUGCACAAUCCUCGUUAAACGUCUCUGGAAUAUUCUGAGAAAUCAACCAAUUUACCAAUAAUAUCUAAGCAAGAGAGAAUGAGAAUUGUCACGACACCUCCUACAAAACAAACUACUUCAUCGGGUGAAAGAGGAAGAAACAAAAUGAUUUAUCACUUUUUUUGUGAGAACAGUUAUUGUGAUAAACUUUAGUAAUCAAAUUAACUACUUAGAAUUAGUUCCAUUCAACUGCUAUGUUUUUAUGACAUUGGGAUAUCCAUCAUGUUCAAGGAUCUCAUCUCUUUAGAAAAGGUUCUUGCGUCUUACCCCAUGGAUAUCAUCUCAUUUAAUGGAAGUAUGGGUCAUUGUGCAAAUGUCCUUUAAGUUUAACGUCCAAAUCUGUUACUAUAUCAGACAUUGGUUCAAAUACCCAUACGUCUCUCUAUAUCUUGUAUGGAAUCGUUGUAUUCUUCGAUAAUAACUGAGGAUAUGUUUAAUCAAGAGGAGUAAUGCUAAAAUGAAAUGUACAGUGAGGAACAAAGAGACUUAUCAUCCUUCAACUGCAUCUCUUCCAUUGAAACUCCUUCCAAAGUCUACUCUAUUGCGUCUAAUAAAAUUCUUAGAAAACACUUUCAUUGAUUUGAAUUCUUAAAUGUCAUUGAUGUCAACAAACAAACAACUAAUAUCUCUGAUACUGAGUCCAUUUAUAAGGCUGUAUUAUUUAUUUAAUUCUAGACACUUCCUCCUCGCUUAAGAUUUUAUUAUUACAUGCAAGUCUCUUCUGUCAUUGGAAGAAAGUAGAAGACGAUCUUGGAGCAUGAAUUUAAUGUAGUCCUCUUUUCUAGAUAUCUUUAUCAGCAAAGCCGCAAAAAAAUAUACAACUCUCUUAUUACCUAUAUAUAUAUAUGCAUAAAUAGUUCAUGGGAACUCUUACAUGGUAAAUAUGUUAUAAAUUAUCGUUAAUCAUAUAACUUUACUAUAUGAAUUUCGUUUAACAUAUUUUAAAAGUUAGUGAGUCGGAAGUCAUUUCUUGAAUUACUAAAUGACUUGUCAUUAUAUUCAAAUGUCACUCGAUUUUUAAAAUUUAGGAUCUCCACAUCAAUAUUCAAUAAAUAAAUUACGGAAAUGUAUACAAGAAAUA